GGCCUGAUGGUCUAGUAGUAUGAUUCCUUGUUAGGGCGUUAUGACUGCCAUCGAGGAGGUCCCGGGUUCAAUUCCCGGUCAGGCCC
rnacentral:tRNA from 1 species